rnacentral:rRNA from 1 species
AGAGUUUGAUCCUGGCUCAGGACAAACGCUGGCGGCGUGCCUAACACAUGCAAGUCGAACGGGGUAUGGUUCUUCGGGACCAUACCGAGUGGCGGACGGGUGAGUGACCCGUGGAUGACGUACCCUGGUGUGGGGGAUACCCUGCAGAAAUGCAGGCUAAUACCGCAUACGGUCUGUGCGAUCAAGCGCGCAGAAGAAAG